rnacentral:tRNA from 3 species
GGCGGUGUAGCUCAGCUGGCUAGAGCGUACGGUUCAUACCCGUAAGGUCGGGGGUUCGAUCCCCUCCGCCGCUAC